rnacentral:rRNA from 1 species
UACGUAGGGGGCAAGCGUUGUCCGGAAUCAUUGGGCGUAAAGAGCGCGUAGGCGGCCCUGUAAGUCCGCUGUGAAAGUCAAGGGCUCAACCCUUGAAUGCCGGUGGAUACUGCAGGGCUAGAGUCCGGAAGAGGCGAGUGGAAUUCCUGGUGUAGCGGUGAAAUGCGCAGAUAUCAGGAGGAACACCGGUGGCGAAGGCGGGUCUCUGGGCAGUAACUGACGCUGAGGAGCGAAAGCGUGGGGAGCGAACAGG